rnacentral:rRNA from 1 species
CCUACGGGAGGCAGCAGUGAGGAAUAUUGGUCAAUGGACGAGAGUCUGAACCAGCCAAGUAGCGUGAAGGAUGACUGCCCUAUGGGUUGUAAACUUCUUUUAUAUGGGAAUAAAAUGUUCCACGUGUGGGAUUUUGUAUGUACCAUAUGAAUAAGGAUCGGCUAACUCCGUGCCAGCAGCCGCGGUAAUACGGAGGAUCCGGGCGUUAUCCGGAUUUUAUGGGUUUAAAGGGAUCGUAGGUGGAUUGUUAAGUCAGUUGUGAAAGUUUGCGGCUCAACCGUAAAAUUGCAGUUGAAACUGGCAGUCUUGAGUACAGUAGAGGUGGGCGGAAUUCGUGGUGUAGCGGUGAAAUGCUUAGAUAUCACGAAGAACUCCGAUUGCGAAGGCAGCUCACUGGACUGCAACUGACACUGAGGCUCGAAAGUGUGGGUAUCAAACAGGAUUAGAUACCCCUGUAGUC